UACGUAGGGUGCAAGCGUUAAUCGGAAUUACUGGGCGUAAAGCGUGCGCAGGCGGUUAUGUAAGUCAGAUGUGAAAUCCCCGGGCUCAACCUGGGAACUGCAUUUGUGACUGCAUAGCUAGAGUACGGUAGAGGGGGAUGGAAUUCCGCGUGUAGCAGUGAAAUGCGUAGAUAUGCGGAGGAACACCGAUGGCGAAGGCAAUCCCCUGGACCUGUACUGACACUCAUGCACGAAAGCGUGGGGAGCAAACAGG
rnacentral:rRNA from 1 species